UCAAGCUAAAAAGAGCGCAGGGUGAAUGCCUUGGCACUGGGAGCCGACGAAGGACGCGAUAAGCUGCGAAAAGCUGCGGGGAUCAGCAAGUAUGAAAUGAUCCGCAGAUGUCCGAAUGGAGCAAUCCGCCGGAAUAAAGCUCCGGCAUCAUACACUGAAUCCAUAGGUGUAUGAGGGGAACCGCCUGAACUGAAACAUCUAAGUAGGGCGAGGAAGAGAAAUCAACCGAGAUUCCGCUAGUAGUGGCGAGCGAACGCGGAAGAGGCCAAACCAAGAGUAGUAAUACUUUUGGGGUUUUGGACAGCGUACGGUAUUAACUGCGGUUAGUAGAAUGAAAUGGGAAGUUCAACCACAGAGCGUGAUAGUCGCGUACACGAAAACUAAAGUUAGCCAGCUGGAUCCAGAGUACCGCCGGACACGUGAAACCCGGUGGGAAGAUGGGGGGACCACCCUCCAAGCCUAAAUACUCUCCAAUGACCGAUAGUGUAUAGUACUGUGAAGGAAAGGUGAAAAGAACCCCUGGCGGGGAGUGAAAUAGAACCUGAAACCUUGUGCCUACAAGCACAUAGAGCGCGUCAAUGCGUGAUAUGGUACCUUUUGUAGAAUGGUCCGGCGAGUGAAUGUCACUGGCAAGGUUAAGCUCUUAAGGAGUGCAGCCGAAGCGAAAGCGAGUCUGAAAUGGGCGUAUUUAGUCAGUGGUAUUCGACCCGAAACCGGGUGACCUAGCCAUGAGCAGGCUGAAGUGGAGGUAAAACUCCAUGGAGGGCCGAACCCACUCCCGUUGAAAUGGUAGGGGAUGACUUGUGGCUAGCGGAGAAAUUCCAAUCGAACCCGGAGAUAGCUGGUUCUCUCCGAAAUAGCUUUAGGGCUAGCCUCAUUAACAUUACCGCAGGUAAAGCACUGAAUGAGCUAGGGGGCGAAAGCUUACUGAACUCUAUCAAACUCAGAAUGGCGGAUAAUGAAUGAUUGGGAGUCACACUACGUGAGAUAAGUUUCGUGGUGGAAAGGGAAACAGCCCAGACCCACAGCUAAGGUCCCAAAGUACAGUUAAGUGGAAAAGGAUGUGAAAUUGCGCAGACAACCAGGAUGUUGGCUCAGAAGCAGCCACUCAUUCAAAGAGUGCGUAAUAGCUCACUGGUCGAGUGAUUUUGCGCCGAAAAUUUAACGGGGCUAAACUGUACACCGAAGCUUGGGAAUAUACAUUUGUAUGUUGGUAGGAGAGCGUUGUGUAAGGGGUGAAGUCGUAGCGAAAGCGGCGGUGGACUUUACACAAGUGAGAAUGCCGGAAUGAGUAGCGAGAAUUAUGUGAGAAUCAUAAUGGCCGAAAGACUAAGGUUUUAGAAGGAAGGUUCGUCCGCUUCUAGUUAGCCGGGAGCUAAGGCGAGGCCGAGAGGCGUAGUCGAUGCACAUACGGUUGAGAUUCCGUAGCUACCUUGCAUUUAAGCGAAGGGACACAUUUGAAGGGCAUGACCCGGGCGUUGGUUGACCCGGGCGUAAGGGACCGAAAAUAAGUAGGGAAGCAUGCUUGGAUGGUGGCGAGAAAAGCUUCGUGUAUAUAAGCAGGGUACCCGUACUGCAAACCGACACAGGUAGUCAGGAAGAGGAUUCUAAGGCCAUCGGGAGAAGCGUUGUUAAGGAACUCGGCAAAUUGACCCCGUAACUUCGGAAUAAGGGGUGCUCACGCGAGUGAGCCGCAGUGAAUAGGUCCAGGCAACUGUUUAUCAAAAACACAGCUCUCUGCUAAAUCGUAAGAUGACGUAUAGGGGGUGACACCUGCCCGGUGCUGGAAGGUUAAGAGGAGGGGUGCAAGCUCCGAAUUGAAGCCCCAGUAAACGGCGGCCGUAACUAUAACGGUCCUAAGGUAGCGAAAUUCCUUGUCGGGUA
rnacentral:rRNA from 1 species